UUACGGCUACAUCAUGCUGAAAUACCGCUACCCGUACGAUCACCGAAGUUAAGCAACGUCGAGCCGGAUCAAUACCUAGAUAGGUGAUUGCUUGAGAAUAUCAGGUACUGUAAG